rnacentral:rRNA from 1 species
GUUAAACAUAAAGAGCGUAGGGUGGAUGCCUAGGCACUAAGAGCCGAUGAAAGACGUGAUAAGCUGCGAAAAGCUGCGGUCAGGAGCAAAUAUCCAGUGACCCGCAGAUGUCUGAAUGGGGAAACCCACUUAAGUAGACCUUAAGUAUCCAUGGGUGAAUAAAAUAGUCCAUGGAAGGGAACCCGGUGAACUGAAACAUCUAAGUAGCCGGAGGAAGAGAAAGAAAAAUCGAUUUUGGGAGUAGUGGCGAGCGAAACCGAAAGAGCCUAAACCAUUGUGCGAGCACGAUGGGGUUAUGGACUGCAACAAAGUCAAAAACUUGUUACCGGAAGGGAUAUGGAAAGACCUGCCAAAGAACGUGAGAGCCGUGUAUGGGAAAACAAGUCGAGACAAGCAGGAUCCAAAGUACCAUAAGACACGAGAAACCUUGUGGGAAGUCGGGGGGACCACCCCCCAAGGCUAAAUACUACUUAGUGACCGAUAGCGCAUAGUACUGUGAAGGAAAGGUGAAAAGGACCCCGGGAGGGGAGUGAAAGAGAACCUGAAACCCUAUGUUUACAAGCUGUGGAACACCGCAAGGUGAACCGCGUACUUUUUGUAGAACGGUCCGGCGAGUUGCAUGUACUGGCAAGGUUAAGCACUACAGGUGCGAAGCCGAAGAGAGAUCAAGUCUUAAUAGGGCGAAGAAGUCAGUGAAUGCAGACCCGAAACCGGGUGAUCUAUCCAUGUCCAGGUUGAAGUCAACGUAAAAGUUUAUGGAGGACCGAACCCACAUCCGUUGAAAAGGGUGGGGAUGAGGUGUGGAUAGGGGAGAAAUUCCAAUCGAACCCGGAGAUAGCUGGUUCUCCUCGAAAUAGUUUUAGGACUAGCCUUAAUUUAGUCUGAUGGAGGUAGAGCACUGAAUUUUUGCGGGGGCGUCAAAGCUUACCAAUGAAUAUCAAACUGCGAAUGCCAUACAGAUGAUGAUUAGGAGUCAGACUACACGAGAUAAGUUGGGUAGUCAAAAGGGAAAGAGCCCAGAUCUACGGCUAAGGUCCCAAAGUGAGUGUUAAGUGGAAAAGGAUGUAGGAUUUCAUAGACAACUAGGAUGUUGGCUUAGAAGCAGCCAUACAUUAAAAGAGUGCGUAAUAGCUCACUAGUCGAGAGGUUCUGCGCCGAAAAUGUCCGGGGCUAAAACACUACACCGAAGCCAAGGGAUGACGAAAGUCAUCGGUAGAGGAGCAAUCUUACCGACGUAGAAGCCAUACCGAAAGGAGUGGUGGAGAAGUAAGAAGAGAGAAUGCCGGAAUGAGUAGCGAGAGUGAGGUGAGAAUCCUCACGGCCAAAUACCCAAGGAUUCCAGAGUAAAGCUGAUCUGCUCUGGGUAAGUCGGGACCUAAGGCGAGGGAGAGAUCCGUAGUCGAUGGACAUCAGGUAUAUAUUCCUGAACUGCAUAUAAUCAGAAAUGUGGGGACACAGAAACUUAAGUCGAACCCGGGAGAGCAAAGACCGGGAUAAGCGAGGUAGCAGGUGGUAGGAAAAACCGCCACGAAAUGCGAAUACGUGAUAUGUAGCGAAGAAAAGUAGCGAAGUCGAAUAGGGAGCUGUCAAGAAAAGCCGCUAUAGUGUUAUAUGUACCCGUACCGUAAACCGACACAGGUGGGUGAGGAGAGUAUCCUAAGGCCGGCGGGAGAAGCAUUGUUAAGGAACUCGGCAAAAUGACCCCGUAACUUCGGGAGAAGGGGUGCCACUAGAAAUAGUGGUCGCAGAAAAAAGGCUCAAGCAACUGUUUAGCAAAAACACAGGUCUAUGCGAAACCGAAAGGUGAAGUAUAUGGGCUGACGCCUGCCCGGUGCCGGAAGGUUAAGAGGAGAGGUUAGGCAACGAAGCUUUGAAUCUAAGCCCCGGUAAACGGCGGCCGUAACUAUAACGGUCCUAAGGUAGCGAAAUUCCUUGUCGGGUAAGUUCCGACCCGCACGAAAGGCGUAAUGAUUUGAGCGCUGUCUCAACAAUGCACCCGGUGAAAUUGAAGUACCAGUGAAGAUGCUGGUUACCUGCGCCAGGACGGAAAGACCCCAUGGAGCUUUACUCUAGUUUGAUACUGGGGUUUGAUGAUGCAUGUACAGGAUAGGUGGGAGACUGCGAGGCGAGGACGCCAGUUUUCGCGGAGUCAAUGUUGGGAUACCACCCUUGUAUCAUUGAAUUUCUAACCCAUGGCCGUGAACCGGUCAGGGGACAAUGUCAGAUGGGGAGUUUGACUGGGGCGGUCGCCUCCGAAAGAGUAUCGGAGGCGCUCAAAGG